rnacentral:rRNA from 1 species
CCUACGGGAGGCAGCAGUGAGGAAUAUUGGUCAAUGGGCGGAAGCCUGAACCAGCCAAGUCGCGUGAGGGAAUAAGGCCCUACGGGUCGUAAACCUCUUUUGCCGGGGAGCAAGCGCCGGGCCGCGUACCCGCCCGGAGAGUACCCGGAGAAAAAGCAUCGGCUAACUCCGUGCCAGCAGCCGCGGUAAUACGGAGGAUGCGAGCGUUAUCCGGAUUUAAUGGGUUUAAAGGGUGCGUAGGCGGGCUUUUAAGUCAUGGGGAAAAAUUCGGGGCUCAACCCCGUCCGGCCGUUGGAACUGGGGGCCCUGAGGGGGCGAGAAGAAGGCGGAAUGCGUGGUGUAGCGGUGAAAUGCAUAGAUAUCACGCAGAACCCCGAUUGCGAAGGCAGCCUUCCGGCGCCCUACUGACGCUGAGGCACGAAAGUGCGGGGAUCGAACAGGAUUAGAUACCCGUGUAGUC